UACGUAGGGGGCAAGCGUUUGUCCGGAAUCAUUGGGCGUAAAGCGCGUGUAGGCGGCCAGAUAAGUCCGCUGUGAAAUCUCGAGGCUCAACCUCGAGACGUCGGUUGAAACCGUAUGGCUAGAGUCCGGAAGAGGAGAGUGGAAUUCCCGGUGUAGCGGUGAAAUGCGCAGAUAUCGGGAAGAACACCAAUUGCGAAGGCAGCUCGCUGGGACGUUACUGACGCUGAGACGCGAAAGCGUGGGGAGCAAACAGG
rnacentral:rRNA from 1 species